GGCGAACGGGUGAGUAACGCGUGGGCAACCUGCCCUCCAGUUGGGGACAACAUUCCGAAAGGGAUGCUAAUACCGAAUGUGCUCCCUCCUCCGCAUGGAGGAGGGAGGAAAGAUGGCCUCUGCUUGCAAGCUAUCGCUGGAAGAUGGGCCCGCGUCUGAUUAGCUAGUUGGUGGGGUAACGGCUCACCAAGGCGAUGAUCAGUAGCCGGUCUGAGAGGAUGAACGGCCACAUUGGGACUGAGACACGGCCCAAACUCCUACGGGAGGCAGCAGUGGGGAAUCUUCCGCAAUGGACGAAAGUCUGACGGAGCAACGCCGCGUGAGUGAUGAAGGUCUUCGGAUUGUAAAACUCUGUUGUUAGGGACGAAAGCACCGUGUUCGAACAGGUCAUGGUGUUGACGGUACCUAACGAGGAAGCCACGGCUAACUACGUGCCAGCAGCCGCGGUAAUACGUAGGUGGCAAGCGUUGUCCGGAAUUAUUGGGCGUAAAGAGCAUGUAGGCGGGCUUUUAAGUCUGACGUGAAAAUGCGGGGCUUAACCCCGUAUGGGGUUGGAUACUGGAAGUCUUGAGUGCAGGAGAGGAAAGGGGAAU
rnacentral:rRNA from 1 species